GAGAUCCUGAGAUCCAUUCGCAGCGACGGGUUUUACACCGACGAAAUGGCCAUAGUCCCGACGCUCCAGAACAUGACAAGCCACAACCUCAUGCUUAUCGGCGGCAUCUCGGCUCGUUUCCCAACCGAUUAUUUGGACGGCUCCGCAGUUAACCUCUACCACCCGCAGAGGCAGGCCUGGUUCUUCUUCGGCACCAUGCCCGAACCGAGGUGCUACCACACAGCAGUACUCGUCGGCGACGCCAUCAUCGUGGCAGGCAAGUGUUGUCCAGAGUGUCCGCGAACAAGAGCAACAGCUAACGGUUUUCUUUACCGCAUGGUCAGAGUUCUUUCUUAAGGAUGCCGGCACCGUUGGUAUGGUAGUUCAAAGGAAGGACCUCCUCAAGUAUAAAAAUAAACAACGGCAUCUAGCGAGAAAUUCUACACCUGCCGAGCGUGACACUCCAGCGAUGCCUGUGUUCAAGGCGGCCUGGACCCACUGUGCGUGACGAGCAGCGGCCACAUGCAGCCCUCCAAUAAGGCGUUUCUGUUCAACCUCCGCAAGCAAAGCUGGCGCAAGCUGGCCGAUAUGCACUGUGAGCGCGCCUACCAUGCCGCCGUCGGAUGGUCCGACCGCAUGAUC